GCGGCAGUAGUUCAACUGGAUAGAACAAUCGGCUACGAACCGAUAGGUUGCGAGUUCGAGUCUUGUCUGCCGUACCA
rnacentral:tRNA from 1 species